GAAGGCCCCACUGUCUUAAGAGAAUUCCCAGUGAAAUUGAAUUCGUAGUGAAGAUGCUACGUCCAAUUUGUUAGACGAAAAGACCCCAUUGAGCUUUACUGGAGACUUACAUUGCUCGGAUCGACUCUCGCCCCCAGGGGGGGGGUCGAAUUUAAAUGGAUAGCUUAGAUUAUGUGGUGUCAUAACCAUCGAUCAAGUAGUCCCUACGGGAUUGCCCCGAAGGUAGACCUGUUUGGGUGAAUGAAACCCCACUCUUUUAUGUUAAAUGAGCUAACCCUUUCUCUCUUAAGGGGGACAAUGUAAGUUGGACAGUUUGGUUGGGGCGACCGCCUUUUAAAGAGUAACGAAGGUGUGCUUAAGGUACACAAUUAAUAUCAGUAGCCUGACUGCGAGGGGGAUUACCCCGAGCAGACACCUAAAGUCUUCUCUCUUCCCCCCCGAAGGUUAAAGACGAAUGGUGGGUUAUAGUGACCCGUUAAUUUAGAGUGGAAUAGUUAACGAUCAACAAAUAAAA
rnacentral:rRNA from 1 species